rnacentral:rRNA from 1 species
AAGUCGUAACAAGGUUUCCGUAGGUGAACCUGCGGAAGGAUCAUUAAUGAUUGCGAAUGGUCGCCCUCGGUGCUGGCUCGUAAGAGCAAGUGCACGUUGGUGGCUUUCAUCCAAUACCCCUGUGAACCUUUGGCCUCUUGCUAGCUCCGGCUGGCAGAGGAUUUUUUACAUACACACUCGAAUGUAAUGAAAACUAUUGUCGUGCGCAAGCACUAAUGUACAACUUUCAACAACGGAUCUCUUGGCUCUCGCAUCGAUGAAGAACGCAGCGAAAUGCGAUAAGUAAUGUGAAUUGCAGAAUUCAGUGAAUCAUCGAAUCUUUGAACGCACCUUGCACCCUUUGGCAUUCCGAAGGGUAUGCUCGUUUGAGUGUCAUUGUACUCUCACACUCUCUGAUCCUUAGGGAUUCGGGGAGCGGUGGACUUGGGUGUUUGCUGCUUUCCUUGUGGCUCACCUCAAAUGCGUCAGUGCACCUCUUGGUUGGACAUAGUACGGCGUGAUAAGUGUCUUCGCCGGCACCUCGCAAGAGGGUGGCCAAUUGGGAGCUCUGUGCUUUCAAACCGUCUUCGGACAAUCU